AAGGAUCUCACAUAUAUGAGAUAUUUUAUAGAUUAAAUUAUAAAAUAAUGAAUACAGGAUUAUGUCCUAAUGCUAUAAACCAUAAAAGGACAGAAGGAGAAACAAUAUUUUGGGAAAUUGAUCAAUCUAAAGCAACUAUAACCAUUCCCAGAACUAUCCAAUGGAAAGAUGUAACUUUACCAGAAAUCUGGAAAUAUCCAGUCAAGACAAUCCCUAACAAACCUUUUAAGGAAAAUAAAGAAAUAGACUAUAUUAUUCAAAAUGAUGAUGGAUCAUUAGAAUUAAAAUAUAAGAGAUCAAAUUCCUUUAGACAAGCAACUCCUAAUAUAUACCAACCCUCUCGACAAUCGUUAGAUACAUC
rnacentral:lncRNA from 1 species